UAAGAAAGAAACACAUCUUUCAUUAUUUUAUUAUGUUUCAUGUUCUUUUUCAGUGCUGCCACACAGAGGCAGAGUUGAGGCUGCUUCUAAAGGGAAAGAGUGAAGGAAGAAAAUCCUUUUUGGUUAGGAAUUACCUGGAUUUCCUGCUGGGGAUACCUCAUCACCCUUUCAAGGCUUCUUCUUUAUCCAAGAGCUCAUUGUUUAGGUUGUUUUCCUUAGGAUGAUGAAAUGAGAGAGUCCUGUGCCAUCAAGAAAUCAGCUUUCCUUGGUGAUGUCUGUACUUCAAAAAAUCAGAUGUGGCAGGAUGAUGAAAUGAGAGAGACCUGUGCCAUCAAGAAAUCAGCUUUCCUUGGUGAUGUCUGUACUUCAAAAAAUCAGAUGUGGCAGCACCCUUACACGUCCUGAGGCUGAGCUGAACACUGAACCAGAUGAACAAACUGCAGGAGCCCAGCACUUGCCCACCUGGGGCUGACCUUUGGAAGCACCACUCGAAGAGAGCUUUGGCCAAGGGAUGAUUCCAAGCUCUGCAGUCCCUGGAUCAGGCACAGCACCAGAGCCCUGACCUCAUUUACAGCUCCUGCAUCUCUGAAAUGCCAGGAGAUUAUGCAGAGAGCUUUCCUGGGUGUGAUCAUGUAAGGCAGGAGACGUGAACUCCUUGUCCUAAAGCCCUGGGUGAAACCAGGCUGUCCCAAAACGUCCCAGCCAGGCCUGGAGAUGCAUUUUGAAGCAAAACUGAUCCUGGCUGAUUUUUUUCUAGGUGAUUUUGCUAAGGGGAAGGGGAUUUUGUGGGCACACCAACAUACAACCACAAUUUGAGCAAGGUUGGGGUGACAAAAAUACCAAGUUGUCCACUUAGAGUGAACUGUUUCCUGGCACCAUCCUUUUGGGAAAGCUGGCAUCUAGAAUUCCACUCAGAGCAGUUUUCAGGGCAUCAGCAUUUAAAAAAUAGCAUUUUAAUGCUAAAAUAUUUAGCAUUAAAAAAAAAAAAUAAAGGUCAAGAUGUAA